rnacentral:rRNA from 1 species
AAUACCGCAUACGUCCUACGGGAGAAAGCAGGGGACCUUCGGGCCUUGCGCUAUCAGAUGAGCCUAGGUCGGAUUAGCUAGUUGGUGAGGUAAUGGCUCACCAAGGCUACGAUCCGUAACUGGUCUGAGAGGAUGAUCAGUCACACUGGAACUGAGACACGGUCCAGACUCCUACGGGAGGCAGCAGUGGGGAAUAUUGGACAAUGGGCGAAAGCCUGAUCCAUCCAGGCCGCGUGUGUGAAGAAGGUCUUCGGA